CUGGACGAAUCACUGUUAGCGGCUACAUGCGUUCGAAGGUGCAUUGGCGCUAUUUUUCGGAUCAUUGAACAUCGUCCUAGCUCUGCUCGUGCAGCUAGUUGGAGGCAGCAUAAUCGAGAUAACUUUGGUUUUUAUUAGGAGAUGGUGGGUGGCC